rnacentral:lncRNA from 1 species
AGCUAAAGAGUCAAUUAAAAUCUCUCUAGCAUUUUGAUCUGAUGUUGCUCUAUUUAGAGCUAUAGUUGGUCUUCAUAAAAAGCUGGUGAAAGAUUCAUUUAAACCCUUGUUCAUCUUUGUAAAUGAUUACAUUGCAUCCCUGUUGUUUGACUUUGUCCCAAUCAUUUUAAGGCUAUUAUGUGGCAUUGUUCUAGAACAGCACCAUCAAGAGUAAUGUACUCUUAAUUCAGAAUACAGGCUUUCACCUAGUACUGAUCCUUGACAAUAUCAAUGCCUCUAGUCCUAUUUCAUUGCUCCAUAAUUGAAGCCUAAUCUUUCUACCACAUUAGCCAUUGAAAUUGAGGGUCAGGCUCUAAGAUAGCUAUCAUCAAAUGUCUCUAAUUUUUGGAAUUAUACAAUUUUGCAUGGCCUAAUAACUAAGUAUCUGUUUUACAUGUAUCGAAUGUAAGCCAUAGGUUAUUAUUGCUUCCUUAAAUCUUUUUAAAUCUUGUGCCUCUAUGGGCUGCCAUUCAAAUUCUUGAUAACCUAGUGGACCCUGUUCAUCUGGUUGUAAUUGACUUGUCAAGGCUAGAAAAAAAUCAUUUUCGUUUUUUUGUUUGUUUGUUUUUAACAGAUAUAGACUGCAUUUUUGCAGUCUUGUUACAAGAUAGUGCUGUAGAGUUUAGAUUAGAUUCAAUUGAAAUUUUUUCAUAAUUCAAAGGAUUGUCUACAUUUUGUUCUAUCGUUUUUAACUUAGCAAGGAUUGUUCAGUCACUUCCUUACCCAAGUCUGCUUCCUUCUGAUCUCUUUAAAAAGGAUAUAUAAAAGUGUAGUCAUUACUAAAAAAAUAAUUAUUUUUAUGCUGGUAAGUGAAGCAAAAGUAGGAUCCAGCUGCUCUCUGUCAUGGCAUUUUUCUCCAUUUUUAAAACUGAAAAUAUUUUUAAUCUCUAACUCUCCUUAAGAACUUCACUUUCUUAUUUUAAAACUAAAUAUUUCUUCCCAUGAUUCUUAUACCCAGUUUCUCUUCUCUUUUCUUGUUUUUAAACUUAAUGCCUUAACAGUUCAGAAGUUUGGGGCUUUUCAGUCCCACUACACCUCCAGGAAAAGGUUCCUUUUGUCCUUCUGUGCACCUGCAGGCUCCUCAGACCAGCACAUGUCUAUAGUGACUAACUCUACCUUCUCAGCUCUGUAGAGCAGACUGCCCUUGCUUGUUCACUAAAGCUCUGGCUCAGGAGAAGCAGCAAUGCAGUUCCAGCACCUGACUCCUCAUGGACCUCUGCUUGCUCCAGCAGGAUAAAAGGGGCCUGCACUUCUACAGCAGGCCUCUUUGUGGUUUCCUGCCCCCACCAUUUGUGUGGCCAGCCAGACUUGAGCUGCUCUGAGAACAGAGUGCUACACCAUCCUUCCUAGUGGCUUCUAAGGCUCUAAGCCUUGAUUCUAGCCUCACAUUGAGCAGCAUUACUAUCUGCCUGCUUUUUCACUCAUGACCCAGUUCCCAAAAUAACAACUCUGUGACUUAUUAUCUAUGAAUAAAUGCCUAGGCCAUAUGCUAGCUAUUGUUCUCUGACCAGCUUGUAAGGUAACCUGUUUAUUGUAUUCUAUGAGUGCCACACGGCUGGUUACCUCUUCUCAGUUUCACCAACUGGUCUCCUCAGACUUCCAAGUGAAGCUCUUCCCAUGUCCAACUCUACCUCAGAAUCCCUCUCUCUCCCUACUAGAACUCCCUCCUUCUACUUCCUUUCCAAGCUAAUAGGCCAUCAGCUUUUUGUUGACAGGUACACAAGAGAUUAUCUCUACACUAAAACUGUGGAACUGUAAGCAAGCUCCAAUUACAUGUUUGCAUUUAUAAGAGUUGCCUUGGUCAUGGUGUUUCUUCAUAGCAAUAAAACUCUCAGUAAGACACUCCUUUUCCAGAAAACCCAAGUUUGAUUCUGGGCACCCACAAAGUAGUGCACAACUGUCUAUAGCUCCGGUUGUAGGGAUCCAACACCCUCACACAGGGAUAUAUGUAGGCAAAAACACUAAUGAACAUAAAAUAAAAUUUAAAAAUCUAUACUCAAAAGCUAAAACUGUUUUUAAUAAAAAUAUCUGGAAGGCGGUACCCCUGAAGUUUGAGUGAAAGAGCACUAAUUUAUUAGUUUUAGAGAGAUUUCUUUAAAAUGCUUCAGUGACUC